GGCAGUUGUACUGUUAAGGAAAACCACGUGGUGGAGGACAGUCCAGAGGAAGAAGCAGAUGGAGGAAAGGUUGCACGGUUGCACCUUAACAAGUCCGAAGAAUGGCGCAGUGGGGAUAUGGAUUCCUAAUGGUAAUAUGGUGUGCAGUGGAAGAUUUGCUGAUCAGCGGCGUGGAUGGCCAGCAAAGGCAUUCAAACUCACUAUGAAAAUCCGGCUUUCCAUAUAAAUCCUUAUGCUGAAAUUCACAUAGAAGUACUGGAAUCUUGUCAUGUCAGACACAAAUCACUUGGGGGGUAAACUUGCGGCAAAGGUUUGGAGUGGACGCAAGGAGUAGACCAUGCUAUACAUGUACUCCAAUGUAACUUUGAUGCUUGAAAGCGUUCUCCCAUCAUGGGGGUGAGGGAAAAGACUUGCACCUUGUCUGUCAGUCCAUCACAAGAGUUUCCCAGACUUUUAAUGCCGUUUCGUUCUUUGAUGGACUUUGACAUAGUUAUUUUUCUCACUACUCUAAACUCUGAGAGGGUAUGUAUUGUUCUAGCAAGGCUUUCAGACGGCUGGUUUUGUCAGUCUUUGGCACAAAGCUCUUCUGCUCAAUCUUGUCUCCUCUGGGGAUUGGUUGAUAUGUCUUUGUGCCGAUAUCAUCACCCCAACUAGCAGCAGGGGUUUGUAAUCACAGCCACUGUCCGAUUCCUGGGGGACAUUGCAAAACUGGCCAUUUGCCACAGCUCAUGAGAACAUUAAUUUUAGAGCAGCAUCAAUGACUUUCACUGUCGUUCAAAAUGUGGGGCAAUGCUAAUCAGGUGUGUAAGCUAACGUCACUAUUGCAAAAAGUAUAAUUUCAAAACUGUGUGGGUUUCCCCCUGGGCUCUGCCCGGUUUUCUCCCACCAUGAAGCUGGUUGCCGUCGUAUAAGUGAAGUAGUCUUGAGUACAGCGCAAAACACAAAUUAAAUGAAUGAAUAAAACAAAUCUUUGGUGGGAACCUUGGCAAUUAUUUGGCCCAUUGUGACUAAAUUGAUUAUCAGAUUAUUAUUCACUUUCAGGCCUGGGAUUGAAGGAUGACUGGGACAGGUGAAAUGUCAAGACUUUCCUUGAUCCCAGUGUGUGUUGCCUAAGUUGUCCUGGUGAUGGUAAAAGGAUUCAACUUCUGAAGGAAGUCCAAGGAAAUGAGUACCUUUUACAUAGUGAGUGCAUUGACUUGAUUGGUAGAGUUUCCUGGGACCCAAAUCAGACCAGAUGGCUACCCUGUGUGAAAACUACAGAAUUAUUGAAGAAAUGAACUCCAAUCUGUCCUCAAACAUUGAUAUGAAAGACGCACAACACAUUG